rnacentral:lncRNA from 10 species
AAUACAAAUUGCUUAUUUCCAAGAAAACAUCUCUGCCGUGCUUUCAGAUUUUCAGCUGAUUACAAAUCACGCACCCAUGAUCAAAUCCAACAAGAGAUAGACCCCCUGCCAUAAAGGAAGAAGGCUGGCUGGGUGUAGUGGCUUAUGACUGCAAUCCCAGUGCUUUGGGAGGCUGAGGCAGGAGGAUCUCCGAGGCCAGCAGUUCAAGACCAGCUUGAGCAAUAUAGCGAGACACCCCCUCAUCUCUCCAAUAAUAAUAAAAAAAAUCAGCCAGGCAUGGUGGCGCGUGCCUGUAGUCCAAUCUACUCGGGAGGCUGAAGUGGGAAGAUUGCUCCAGGAGUUCGAGUCUGCAGUUGGCUGAGAUCUCGCCACUGCACUCCAGCCAGGGCGGUAGAGCCAAACCUUGUCUCAAUAAAAUCUCCACAAGGGGGCGCCAUCUACAUGAUGAUAGCAGGAAGGGAACCGGCCAGUGUCUCCUGGUGACGUACUCAUUCAGCGCUUCUUAUACCUUAAAGGUGACCAGGAAUCACCUGGGGGUCUUGUUAAAAUGCAGGUUCUAAUUCAGCAGGGCUGGAGCAGGACCACAGCUCUUGCAUUUCCCUCCCUCCUUCCUUCCUUCCUCCCUCCCUCCCUCCCUUCCUCCCUCCCUCCCUCCCUUCCUUCUCUUUCUUCUUUCUUUCCUUCUCUCUCUCUCUCUCUUUUUUUUUUUUUGACAGAGUCUCGCUCUGUCACCCAAGCUGGAGUGCAGUGGUGUGAUCUCGGCUCACUGCAGCCUUCACCUCCUGGGUUCAAGCAGUUCUCCUGCCUCAGCCUUCCGAGUAGAUGGUGUCAGGCCUCUGAGCCCAAGCUAAGCCAUCAUAUCCCCUGUGAUCUGCACGUAUACAUCCAGAUGGCCUGAAGUAACUGAAUAAUCACAAAAGGAGUGAAAAUGGCCUGUUCCUGCCUUAACUGAUGACAUUCCACCACAAAAGAAGUGAAAAUGGCCAGUCCCUGCCUUAACUGAUGACAUUACCUCGUGAAAUUCCUUCUCCUGGCUCAUCCUGGCUCAAAAGCUCCACCACUGAGCACCUUGUGACCCCCCACCCCUGCCAGCCAGAGAACAACCCCCUCUGACUGUAAUUUUCCUUUACCUACCCAAAUCCUAUAAAACAGCUCCACCCCAUCUCCCUUCGCUGACUCCCUUUUUGGACUCAGCCCUCCUGCACCCAGGUGAUUAAAAGCUUUAUUGCUCACACA